rnacentral:rRNA from 1 species
AUGGCUUCACCUCCAUGGGUUCGCCUUGUGCUGCUACUCCUAGCAGGAGUUGCCGCAUGCCACGCCCGCGCACUUUUUGACGGUGAUGCCGCCAGCGACGAGAUGCCCCAGCCCCUGCGGCCAUCCGCGAUGUCAUGCUCAACUGCCGACAACUACACCGACGGAAGCAAGUACCAUGUGAACCUCGACCGGCUCCUGUCGUCCAUUCCCAUGGCCGCCGCCAACGACGGCGGCUUCUUCAGCCGUAAAUUCGGCAUGGAGGGCGAUGAGGUCUUCGGCCUCUUCAUGUGCUACACCGGCGACACUGACUCUUGA